GCCACCUUAGCUCAAUGGCAGAGCAACCGCUUCGUAAGCGGUAGGUUGUGAGUUCAAGUCUCACAGGUGGCU
rnacentral:tRNA from 1 species